GCGAAAGCUCAAAAAUGCGGGGCGUCGGCUUGCAGGGGCGCUGGGAAGGCUCAGGGUGCGGCUGCCCGCACGGGCACCAGGUACUCGCCGGUCCCCGCUGAGUGCCCCAACCUGAACCCCGCCUAGGCGCAUAGGCGCAUUGCGCAGGGCUCCUGGGCCACCCCUCGGGCGGAUUACUGGAGACCUAGAAGGCAGAAGGCCCUGGAGGGGACACCGGAAGGUCUCAUAACUGACCCAGAGGAAUUGGUUGGGAGGAAGAACAUGCAAAUGAAUGAUUGACAUUCUCCCCACCUAGUUACCACAGAACUGGUUUCAAGGAAACUGCAAGUGCUUGUAGGGGCGUGCUCAGACCUGACACAGAAAGAAAAGGAGCCAAAGCAGGUG